rnacentral:snRNA from 1 species
GGAUGUGAGGGCGAUCUGGCUGAGACAUCUGUCACCCCACUGAUCGCCAGGGUUGAUUCGGCUGAUGUGCUGGCUAGGCGGAUGUCCCCUUCCUCCCUCACCGCUCCAUGUGCUUCACUCCCGAAGCUGCGCGCUGGGCCAAAGUGGGCAGCAUUCCCGGAACAGAGACCGGUCUUUGGUCAAGGGUAUAUGAGUAGCUGCGCUCCGCUGCUAGAACCUCCAAACAAGCUCUCAAGUAUGUAUUCUACCAGAUAUGUGAGAUAUUUCACAGCCCCUUAGUUUUCUAAUUUAAUUGCAUUAAUUUU